rnacentral:rRNA from 1 species
UACGGAGGGUGCAAGCGUUAUCCGGAUUCACUGGGUUUAAAGGGUGCGUAGGCGGCUUGUUAAGUCAGUGGUGAAAGCUCGCAGCUUAACUGUGAAACUGCCAUUGAAACUGACAAGCUUGAGUACGAUUGAUGUGGGCGGAAUACAACAUGUAGCGGUGAAAUGCUUAGAUAUGUUGUAGAACACCGAUUGCGAAGGCAGCUCACAAAAUCGCAACUGACGCUGAGGCACGAAAGCGUGGGGAG